GAUGAAGAACGUAGCGAAAUGCGAUAAGUAAUGUGAAUUGCAGAAUUCAGUGAAUCAUCGAAUCUUUGAACGCACAUUGCGCCCAUUAGUAUUCUAUUGGGCAUGCCUGUUCGAGCGUCAUUUUGACCACUUAAGCCUGGCUUAGUGUUGGGAAUCUACGUCUGUAGUUCCUUAAAUCUAGUGGCGGAGCCGCAGUGGCCUCUGAGCGUAGUAAUUUUUUCUCGCUUCUGAAAGUACUGUAGUUUUUGCCAUUAAACCCCCAAUUUUUUAAGGUUGACCUCGGAUCAGGUAGGAAUACCCGCUGAACUUAAGCAUAUCAAUAAGCGGAGGA
rnacentral:misc_RNA from 1 species